rnacentral:rRNA from 1 species
GACGAACGCUGGCGGCGUGCCUAAUACACGCAAGUCGAGCGGAUGACAGAGGAGCUUGCUCCUCUAGAUUCAGCGGCGGACGGGUGAGUAACACGUGGGCAACCUGCCCUGUAGAUUGGGAUAACUCCGGGAAACCGGGGCUAAUACCGAAUAAUCCUUCGGACCUCAUGGUCCGAUGUUGAAAGACGGCUUCGGCUGUCACUACAGGAUGGGCCCGCGGCGCAUUAGCUAGUUGGUGAGGUAACGGCUCACCAAGGCCACGAUGCGUAGCCGACCUGGGAGGGUGAUCGGCCACACUGGGACUGAGACACGGCCCAGACUCCUACGGGAGGCAGCAGUAGGGAAUCUUCCACAAUGGACGAAAGUCUGAUGGAGCAACGCCGCGUGAGUGAAGAAGGUUCUCGGAUCGUAAAACUCUGUUGUGAGGGAAGAACAAGUACCGGAGUAACUGCCGGUACCUUGACGGUACCUCAUUAGAAAGCCACGGCUAACUACGUGCCAGCCGCCGCGGUAAAAC